rnacentral:pre_miRNA from 7 species
UUUUAUCAACAUAUUGUGACUAUGAAAGACCCCCGAAGGGAGACCCUCACUCAAGCCUCGGGACAGCCGCGGACCCAAGAAGACACUGAGACCG